rnacentral:rRNA from 1 species
AGGUAAGCUACUAAGAGCGAAUGGUGGAUGCCUUGACUGGUAAAGGCGAUGAAGGACGUACUAGACUGCGAUAAGCUACGGGGAGCUGUCAAGAAGCUUUGAUCCGUAGAUUUCCGAAUGGGGCAACCCAAUGUAUAGAGAUAUACAUUACCUAUAUAGGAGCGAACGAGGGGAAUUGAAACAUCUUAGUACCCUCAGGAAAAGAAAUCAAUAGAGAUUGCGUCAGUAGCGGCGAGCGAAAGCGCAAGAGGGCAAACCCAGUGCUUGCACUGGGGGUUGUAGGACUGCAAUGUGCAAGAGGUAAGUUUAGCAGAACAUUCUGGAAAGUAUAACCAUAGAGGGUGAUAGUCCCGUAUGCGAAAAACAAACCUUAGCUAGCAGUAUCCUGAGUAGGGCGGGACACGAGGAAUCCUGUCUGAAUCCGGGUCGACCACGAUCCAACCCUAAAUACUAAUACCAGAUCGAUAGUGCACAAGUACCGUGAGGGAAAGGUGAAAAGAACUGAGGUGAUCAGAGUGAAAUAGAACCUGAAACCAUUUGCUUACAAUCAUUCAGAGCCCUAUGUAGCAAUACAGGGUGAUGGACUGCCUUUUGCAUAAUGAGCCUGCGAGUUGUGGUGUCUGGCAAGGUUAAGCAAACGCGAAGCCGUAGCGAAAGCGAGUCUGAAUAGGGCGCUUAGUCAGAUGCUGCAGACCCGAAACGAAGUGAUCUAUCCAUGAGCAAGUUGAAGCUAGUGUAAGAACUAGUGGAGGACUGAACCCAUAGGCGUUGAAAAGCCCCGGGAUGACUUGUGGAUAGGGGUGAAAGGCCAAUCAAACUUCGUGAUAGCUGGUUCUCUCCGAAAUAUAUUUAGGUAUAGCGUUGUGUCGUAAUAUAAGGGGGUAGAGCACUGAAUGGGCUAGGGCAUACACCAAUGUACCAAACCCUAUCAAACUCCGAAUACCUUAUAUGUAAUCACAGCAGUCAGGCGGCGAGUGAUAAAAUCCGUCGUCAAGAGGGAAACAACCCAGACUACCAGCUAAGGUCCCUAAAUCUUACUUAAGUGGAAAACGAUGUGAAGUUACUUAAACAACCAGGAGGUUGGCUUAGAAGCAGCCAUCCUUUAAAGAAAGCGUAAUAGCUCACUGGUCUAGUGAUUUUGCGCGGAAAAUAUAACGGGGCUAAAGUAAGUACCGAAGCUGUAGACUUAGUUUACUAAGUGGUAGGAGAGCGUUCUAUUUGCGUCGAAGGUAUACCGGUAAGGAGUGCUGGAGCGAAUAGAAGUGAGCAUGCAGGCAUGAGUAGCGAUAAUUAAUGUGAGAAUCAUUAACGCCGUAAACCCAAGGUUUCCUACGCGAUGCUCGUCAUCGUAGGGUUAGUCGGGUCCUAAGUCGAGUCCGAAAGGGGUAGACGAUGGCAAAUUGGUUAAUAUUCCAAUACCAACAUUAGUGUGCGAUGGAAGGACGCUUAGGGCUAAGGGGGCUAGCGGAUGGAAGUGCUAGUCUAAGGUCGUAGGAGGUUAUACAGGCAAAUCCGUAUAACAAUACUCCGAGAACUGAAAGGCUUUUUGAAGUCUUCGGAUGGAUAGAAGAACCCCUGAUGCCGUCGAGCCAAGAAAAGUUUCUAAGUUUAGCUAAUGUUGCCCGUACCGUAAACCGACACAGGUGGGUGGGAUGAGUAUUCUAAGGCGCGUGGAAGAACUCUCUUUAAGGAACUCUGCAAAAUAGCACCGUAUCUUCGGUAUAAGGUGUGGUUAGCUUUGUAUUAGGAUUUACUCCGAAAGCAAGGAAACUUACAACAAAGAGUCCCUCCCGACUGUUUACCAAAAACACAGCACUCUGCUAACUCGUAAGAGGAUGUAUAGGGUGUGACGCCUGCCCGGUGCUCGAAGGUUAAUUGAUGGGGUUAGCAUUAGCGAAGCUCUUGAUCGAAGCCCGAGUAAACGGCGGCCGUAACUAUAACGGUCCUAAGGUAGCGAAAUUCCUUGUCGGUUAAAUACCGACCUGCAUGAAUGGCGUAACGAGAUGGGAGCUGUCUCAAAGAGGGAUCCAGUGAAAUUGUAGUGGAGGUGAAAAUUCC